rnacentral:rRNA from 1 species
UACUGCAUUUUUUCUUACACAUGUGUUUUUCUCUUUUUGAAAACUUUGCUUUGGUAGGCCUUCAAUAUGGGGCCUGCCAGAGAUUAAACUCAACCAAAUUUUAUUUAAUGUCAACCGAUUAUUUAAUAGUCAAAACUUUCAACAACGGAUCUCUUGGUUCUCGCAUCGAUGAAGAACGCAGCGAAAUGCGAUAAGUAAUAUGAAUUGCAGAUAUUCGUGAAUCAUCGAAUCUUUGAACGCACAUUGCGCCCUUUGGUAUUCCAAAGGGCAUGCCUGUUUGAGCGUCAUUUCUCCCUCAAACCCUCGGGUUUGGUGUUGAGCGAUACGCUGGGUUUGCUUGAAAGAAAGGCGGAGUAUAAACUAAUGGAUAGGUUUUUUCCACUCAUUGGUACAAACUCCAAAACUUCUUCCAAAUUCGACCUCAAAUCAGGUAGGACUACCCGCUGAACUUAAGCAUAUCAAUAAGCGGAGG